GACGAACGCUGGCGGCGUGCCUAAUACAUGCAAGUAGAACGCUGAAGGAGGAGCUUGCUUCUCUGGAUGAGUUGCGAACGGGUGAGUAACACGUAGGUAACCUGCCUGUUAGCGGGGGAUAACUCUUGGAAACGAUAGCUAAUACCGCAUAAGAGUAGAUGUUGCAUGACAUUUGCUUAAAAGGUGCAAUUGCAUCACUACCAGAUGGACCUGCGUUGUAUUAGCUAGUUGGUGGGGUAACGGCUCACCAAGGCGACGAUACAUAGCCGACCUGAGAGGGUGAUCGGCCACACUGGGACUGAGACACGGCCCAGACGCCUUCGGGAGGCAGCAGUAGGGAAUCUUCGGCAAUGGACGGAAGUCUGACCGAGCAACGCCGCGUGAGUGAAGAAGGUUGUCGGAUCGUAAAGCUCUGUUGUAAGAGAAGAACGAGUGUGAGAGUGGAAAGUUCACACUGUGACGGUAUCUUACCAGAAAGCGACGGCUAACUACGUG
rnacentral:rRNA from 1 species